UGAAUACGAGACGCUAAGGCGUCGAAGUAGUGUAUGUCAUACUUCCAAGAAAAGCUUGCACUGUCAUAGAUAAAAAACGCCUGUACCAUAACCGACACAGGUGGGUAGGUAGAGUAUACUAAGGGGCGCGAGAUAACUCUCUCUAAGGAACUCGGCAAAAUAACUCCGUAACUUCGGGAGAAGGAGUGCCUUAUUCGUAAGGUUGCAAUAACAAGAUCCAAGCAACUGUUUAUCAAAAACACAGGUCUCCGCUAAGUCGUAAGACGAUGUAUGGGGGCUGACGCCUGCCCAGUGCCAGAAGGUUAAAGAAGUCGGUUAGCAAUUGCGAAGCUGAUAACUGAAGCCCUGGUGAACGGCGGCCGUAACAAUAACGGUCCUAAGGUAGCGAAAUUCCUUGUCGGGUAAGUUCCGACCCGCACGAAAGGCGUAAUGAUUUGGAUACUGUCUCGGAGAGGGGCUCGGUGAAAUAGACUUGUCUGUGAAGAUGCGGACUACCUGCACCAGGACAGAAAGACCCUAUGAAGCUUUACUGUAACUUGAAAUUGAAAUUGGACUUUAUUCGCGCAGUAUAGGUGGGAGGCGUUGAUUAUAAUCUUGUGGGAUUAUUGGAGCCAUCAGUGAGAUACCACUCUUGUAAUGUUAGAUUUCUAACUUUGAAUCAUUAUCUGGUCAAAGAACAGUUUCAGGCGGGCAGUUUGACUGGGGCGGUCGCCUCCUAAACGGUAACGGAGGCGUACAAAGGUUUCCUCUGAACGGUUAGAAAUCGUAUCUAGAGUGUAAAGGCAUAAGGAAGCUUGACUGUGAGACCUACAAGUCGAGCAGGGACGAAAGUCGGUCUUAGUGAUCUGACGGUACUGAGUGGAAAGGCCGUCACUCAACGGAUAAAAGUUACUCUAGGAUAACAGGCUGAUCUCCCCCAAGAGUUCACAUCGACGGGGAGGUUUGGCACCUCGAUGUCGGCUCAUCGCAUCCUGGGGCGGUAGUACGUCCCAAGGGUUGGGCUGUUCGCCCAUGAAAGCGGUACGCGAGCUGGGUUCAGAACGUCGUGAGACAGUUCGGUCCAUAUCCGGUGUAGGCGUUAGAAUAUUGAGAGGAGCCUUCUUUAGUACGAGAGGACCGAGAAGGACAUACCUCUGGUGUACCAGUUAUCGUGCCAACGGUAAACGCUGGGUAGCUAUGUAUGGAGUGGAUAACCGCUGAAAGCAUCUAAGUGGGAAGCCCACCUCAAGAUAAGUAUUCUCAUCACGUAAGUGAGUAAGGUCACGGUAAGACUAACCGUUUGAUAGGCAUUAAGUGUAAGUACAGUAAUGUAUGUGCUGAGAUGUCCUAAUAGACCGAGGACUUGAAU
rnacentral:rRNA from 1 species